rnacentral:rRNA from 1 species
UACGGAGGGUGCAAGCGUUAUCCGGAUUUACUGGGUUUAAAGGGUGCGUAGGUGGGUUUGUAAGUCAGUGGUGAAAUCUCCGAGCUUAACUCGGAGACUGCCAUUGAUACUAUAGAUCUUGAAUUAUCUGGAGGUAAGCGGAAUAUGUCAUGUAGCGGUGAAAUGCUUAGAUAUGACAUAGAACACCAAUUGCGAAGGCAGCUUACUACGGAUAUAUUGACACUGAGGCACGAAAGCGUGGGGAUCAAACAGG